rnacentral:rRNA from 1 species
AUUGAACGCUGGCGGCAGGCCUAACACAUGCAAGUCGAGCGGAUGAAGGGAGCUUGCUCCUGGAUUCAGCGGCGGACGGGUGAGUAAUGCCUAGGAAUCUGCCUGGUAGUGGGGGAUAACGUCCGGAAACGGGCGCUAAUACCGCAUACGUCCUGAGGGAGAAAGUGGGGGAUCUUCGGACCUCACGCUAUCAGAUGAGCCUAGGUCGGAUUAGCUAGUUGGUGGGGUAAAGGCCUACCAAGGCGACGAUCCGUAACUGGUCUGAGAGGAUGAUCAGUCACAAUGGAACUGAGACAGGGUCCAGACUCCAACGGGAGGCAGAAGUGGGGAAUAUUGGAGAAUGGGCGAAAGCCUGAUCCAGCCAUGCCGCGUGUGUGAAGAAGGUCUUCGGAUUGUAAAGCACUUUAAGUUGGGAGGAAGGGCAGUAAGUUAAUACCUUGCUGUUUUGACGUGACAAACAGAAUAAGCACCGGCUAACUUCGUG